AUUGAACGCUGGCGGCAGGCUUAACACAUGCAAGUCGAACGAGUGGCGGACGGGUGAGUAAUGCUUGGGAAUCUAGCUUAUGGAGGGGGAUAACUACGGGAAACUGUAGCUAAUACCGCGUACCAUAGGAUGAGCCCAAGUGGGAUUAGGUAGUGGGUGAGGUAAAGGCUCACCAAGCCGACGAUCUCUAGCUGGUCUGAGAGGAGGACCAGCCACACUGGGACGGGGACACGGCCCAGAUCCCUACGGGGGGCAGCAGGGGGGAAUAUUGCGAAAUGGGGGAAGCCGGACACAGCAAUGCCGCGUGUAUGAAGAAGGCCUUCGGGUUGUAAAGUACUUUCAGUCGGGAGGCGUUACCGACAGAGGAAGCACCGGCUAACUCCGUGCCAGCAGCCGCGGUAAUAC
rnacentral:rRNA from 1 species